rnacentral:tRNA from 1 species
GCUUUCAUAGUUUAAUGGUAAAACAAUUGACUUGUAAUCAAUAGAUCACAGUUCAACUCUGUGUGAAAGCU